rnacentral:misc_RNA from 1 species
GAUGAAGAACGUAUCGAAAUGCGAUAAGUAAUGUGAAUUGCAGAAUUCAGUGAAUCAUCGAGUCUUUGAACGCACAUUGCGCCCCCUGGUAUUCCGGGGGGCAUGCCUGUCCGAGCGUCAUUGCUGCCCUCAAGCACGGCUUGUGUGUUGGGCCCCCGUCCCCGGUUUCCCCCGGGGACGGGCCCGAAAGGCAGCGGCGGCACCGCGUCCGGUCCUCGAGCGUAUUGGGCUUUGUCACCCGCUCUGUAGGCCCGGCCGGCGCCAGCCGACACCCAACUUUAUUUCUAAGGUUGACCUCGGAUCAGGUAGGGAUACCCGCUGAACUUAAGCAUAUCAAUAAGCGGAGGA